rnacentral:rRNA from 1 species
UACGGGGGGGGCAAGCGUUGUUCGGAAUUACUGGGCGUAAAGGGCUCGUAGGCGGCCCUCUCAGUCGGAUGUGAAAUCCCCAGGCUCAACUUGGGAACGGCAUCCGAUACUGGAGGGCUUGAAUUCGGGAGAGGGAUGCAGAAUUCCAGGUGUAGCGGUGAAAUGCGUAGAUAUCAGGAGGAACACCUGUGGCGAAAGCGGCUCACUGGACCACAACUGACGCUGAGGCGCGAAAGCUAGGGGAGCAAACAGG